rnacentral:lncRNA from 1 species
AGAGCUUUGCGGACGCCUGGCGAAGAUGCCAGGUCUGGUCCCCGCCCCCAGGCCGAAUCCAGCUGCCAGCGAGGCAGCUGGGGGUGGUGGAAUGGGGUGGGGGAGUGGACCCCGCAGGCCCGGUCGCGAUCUAACCCAGCGGCUCAGGAUGCAGCGGGGGCCCUGGGUGCACAAUGGCACCUGCGGGACAACUGCGUCAAGGUCGAGGUGAGAACCAGGCUCUCAGGGCUGCCCGGAACGUUUCACUCUUCGCUCGGCGGGGCUCUGCAAAGGCGGAAGAUGACGUGGCGAAUCGAGGAAGCGCCACAUCUCAGAUCCAGACGUUCCACUCCCAGGAACUGACCCAAAGGAAAUAAUCCAGUCCAAGAAAGAGAGAAUAUCCGGGAAUAAAGCAACUCGUGGGAAAUGGUUUAACGAACCUCUGCAUAUCAGUGCUAUGGAAUGCUCUUUUAUUUCGUGCAGCAUUUAGGUGAUCGCUUGUCAGGACCCUCUCAGUAUCUGGGGACACUGAGAGGGUAGAACCCAGAUCUCCUUUCUUUCCUCCGAGAGUUCACAGGAGAAACAGCGUGGACUUUAGAACCAGAGUGCAGUGGAUCUGAGCACCCGUGUAUGUCCUCAUCUGUAAAACGCAGACGCUUCAUAGAGAAGCAAUGAGGGUCCCAGCGGGAAGGUUACACCGAGUAUCCGCCACGAGAUGAGAGGUCCAAACACCUACCAACAAUCCCGAGGUGCCAUGAUAAAAGAAUGUAUGAGUUAUUAAGUAUAUGCAGAACCGCAAGUGCUGCAAGUAGCUGAAGCUUCCUACUCUUGAAAACACAGGAGGGAUGCAUUUAAUUAUGCCUGGGUGGGCGUGGCACCAAAGAAGCCCCGAGGUAACUCAAGCUGAGUCCUGAAGGAUGUGUUUUCUGGGUAGACAAGAAAUGAAAAGACCAUUGCAGGUAAAGCAAGCCUAGGACCUAGAGGGAGGGAAGAAAGAGCAAGGGAAUUCCAAAAGCUACUUCUAAGUGUCUUGUAGGAAGGAACGCAUUUCCAGUUGCACAUUUAUUCUUCUGCCUCAGCUGCACAAGUGGCAGACCAGGCCCUCGUGGCUUAAGGGUGACUCUCCUCCCCUAGGCCUGCCUCCACCCAUCAAAGAAAUCCCUCUAGGCUCCCUGUGUAUCCAGGAGAGGUUCCCAUCCCCAUCCGGUGAUCUCAAUCCCUGGAUGCUCCAAGGCCAAUGUUGGAAGGGAAGGUUCUGGGCUGUUUUCUUCCUUUUCCCAUGAUUCUUGACAGCUGCGUAAACCUACCCAUAGAGCUCUUUGAAGAGAGAGUUUGGGAAGAAGAGGAACCCAAAGCCAAGUGAAAGACCCCUGUGUUCUUGAAAGAAGGUGUGUGGUGGCAAUUUAAUCAUUAACAGUCAAUAAAUGUGAUUGCAUGUCAAGCACUGAGCAUACACCAUCUCCAUUAAUUAGCUGUGCUUAUAUUAUUAUUAUAUUAUUAUAAUAUUAUAAUAUAUUAUAUUAUUAUA